ensembl:miRNA
UUAGGUUGGUGCAAAAGUUAUUGUGGUUUUUGCCAUUGAAAGUAAUGGCAAAAACCACAAUUACUUUUGCACCAACCUUUAAUAAAA